CUUAUCUCUGAGGGUAAAAAUAAACCCUCUGAGUGAGAUGUAGAGCCGCAGAAACAGCCCCAGCCCCGAUCAUAAGCAUCAAGAGGAGAGCCAGAGCUUCAACACAGCCCUUCUGCACACAUCUCUGCUGAUAUAUCAGAGUAAAAAUGUCAGACAUCGAAGAAGUGGAGGAGUAUGAGGAGCAGGAGGGUAAGUCUCGUAAUAUUACUUUCAUACUUCCACUGUAUGCAAGCAAAUACUCUUCUUGUUUUAAAGUAGGUCAUAAAUAGCGGCCUUGCAGCUACAUAGUUUUAUGUAAAAGAUACAGCAUGUUUUUUUUAAACAGGGUUGUUAAAGAAUUGUGUCAUUACACUGAUAUUUGAAAUAGGAGAUAACCUUCAAAAACGACCCGCUUAUCAGGUUUUUACACCUGAAAAUCAUAAAUAGUCUGACAUGUAAAAGUGCGGUUGCAAGAUAUGGUGAACCGUCCUGUAGAUUUAUGAGUUUUGUUAGUUCAGCUUGUCAGCUUUCAACAAAACACACCCAAAAAUGACAAAUGUGGAAUAAGUAGAGCAGAACGUCCUGAAGCAGGGGCAUAUCAUCACUAAAACAUUGCUAUGUUUCACUGUCUCCAGAUCUCUUAGCUUCAGUUUUUGUGAUGUGUUCUUGUUUGUUUUCUUACCAAACCUGCAUGGUGUGUGCUCAGAGGAGCAGGAGG